GACGAACGCUGGCGGCGUGCCUAAUACAUGCCAGUAGAACGCUGAAGGAGGAGCUUGCUCUUCUGGAUGAGUUGCGAACGGGUGAGUAACGCGUAGGUAACCUGCCUGGUAGCGGGGGAUAACUAUUGGAAACGAUAGCUAAUACCGCAUAACAGUAGAUGUUGCAUGACAUUUACUUAAAAGGUGCAAUUGCAUCACUACCAGAUGGACCUGCGUUGUAUUAGCUAGUUGGUGGGGUAACGGCUCACCAAGGCGACGAUACAUAGCCGACCUGAGAGGGGGAUCGGCCACCCUGGGACUGAGACACGGCCCAGACCCCUACGGGAGGCAGCAGUAGGGAAUCGUCGGCAAUGGACGGAAGUCUGACCGAGCAACGCCGCGGGAGUGAAGAAGGGUUUCGGAUCGUAAAGCUCUGUUGUAAGAGAAGAACGAGUGUGAGAGUGGAAAGUUCACACUGUGACGGUAUCUGACCAGAAAGGGACGGCUAACUACGUG
rnacentral:rRNA from 1 species